rnacentral:rRNA from 1 species
GUACCUACGGGACGCAGCAGUGAGGAAUAUUGGUCAAUGGCCGAGAGGCUGAACCAGCCAAGUCGCGUGAGGGAUGACGGCCCUACGGGUUGUAAACCUCUUUGGACGGGGAGCAAGGCCGCCGACGUGUCGGCGGAAGGAGAGUACCCGUAGAACAAGCAUCGGCUAACUCCGUGCCAGCAGCCGCGGUAAUACGGAGGAUGCGAGCGUUAUCCGGAUUUAUUGGGUUUAAAGGGUGCGCAGGCGGCACGGCAAGCCGGCGGUCAAAUCGCGGGGCUCAACCCCGCCCAGCCGUCGGAACUGCC